UACGUAGGGGGCAAGCGUUGUCCGGAUUUAUUGGGCGUAAAGAGCGUGUAGGCGGUCAGGUAGGUCCGUUGUGAAAACUCGAGGCUCAACCUCGAGACGCCGAUGGAAACCAUCUGACUAGAGUCCGGAAGAGGAGAGUGGAAUUCCUGGUGUAGCGGUGAAAUGCGUAGAUAUCAGGAGGAACACCGGUGGUGUAGACGGCUUUCUGGACCGUAACUGACGCUGAGACACGAAAGCGUGGGUAGCAAACAGG
rnacentral:rRNA from 1 species